GUCAGUCAUGAGACACCACUGUCGUCUCAGCAGGAACCCGAGUCAGCAGGGUCCUCCCGGGAACACUGGUGUAGGUGGGACCAGUCCUCCCCAGGAAUAAAUGGCAAGGAGAUGCCAUGGUGGUGGGGCGUGGAGAACUUCAGAAAGCUUGAAACAGAACAACAACUCACACCACGCUUGGGAGAGGAGCCCCUGGAAGCAUAUUCCUAAGAGAGAGUUCAAGAGGGCCUCUACUAAGCCUGCACCAUGAAAUUAGUAUUCCUUCUCAUCUUAGUUGUCUUCUUUAUCUCCCAAACCAUGCCAGGUUGUGGGGAAGGACUUCAUGGAACGACUUAUCACUGUGACACACUUUUCAGCGUAUGUCUGCGGAGGAAAGAAAAUUGUAUUCUUCGCAUGCCAGGCGUUUGCCCUGGAAGAAGCUUCUGCUGUUUGAGAACAUGG